GGGGACGUUACGGAUUCGACAGGGAUGGAUCGAGCUUGAGCUGCGAGCCGAGAGGCGAUCUCGUUAACACGCACCUAAAUAUAACUGGCAAAACUAAAAGUUUUAACCAAAACUUAGCACUAGCUGCCUAAUAAACGCAGCGAGCUCUUCCUGACAUUGCCUAUGUGUCCGUGAAGAGCACAUCCAAGUAGGCUACGCUUGCGUUCCUGUCUGAGAACGUAAGAAGAGACUGACAGACUAGCUCUCGGAAGGCCCGCCCGCAGGCACGAAGACGAGUGAGUGAAACACGAAAUAUGCAGGCUACGCUCGUAGACGCUUAAGUAAUCGAUGUUUCUGGACGUGGGUUCGACUCCCACCGUCUCCAUAC
rnacentral:tmRNA from 1 species